CCUACGGGGGGCAGCAGUGAGGAAUAUUGGUCAAUGGGAGAGAUCCUGAACCAGCCAAGCCGCGUGAGGGAAGACGGCCCUAUGGGUUGUAAACCUCUUUUGUCGGGGAACAAAACCCGGGACGUGUCCCGGACUGCGUGUAUCCGAAGAAAAAGCAUCGGCUAACUCCGUUCCAGCAGCGGCGGUAAUAGGGGGGAUGCGAGCGUUAUCCGGAUUUAUUGGGUUUAAAGGGUGCGUAGGCGGUCCGUUAAGUCAGCGGUAAAAUUGCGGGGCUCAACCCUGUCGGGCCGUUGAAACUGGGAGACUUGAGUUGGCGAGAGGUACGCGGAAUGCGCGGUGUAGCGGUGAAAUGCGUAGAUAUCGCGAAGAACACCGGUUGCGAAGGCGGCGUACGGGCGCCAGACUGACGCUGAGGCACGAAAGCGUGGGGAUCGAACAGGAUUAGAUACCCGUGUAGUC
rnacentral:rRNA from 1 species